rnacentral:rRNA from 1 species
GACGAACGCUGGCGGCGUGCUUAACACAUGCAAGUCGAACGAGAGCGUAGAGAAAGCUUGCUUUUUCUACAAUCUAGUGGCAAGCGGGUGAGUAACGCGUAAACAACCUGCCCUACGGAUGGGGACAACAGCUGGAAACGGCUGCUAAUACCGAAUACGUUCCGAAAGUCGCAUGACUAUCGGAAGAAAGGAUGGCCUCUAUUUAUAAGCUAUCGCCGGAGGAGGGGUUUGCGUCUGAUUAGCUAGUUGGAGGGGUAACGGCCCACCAAGGCGACGAUCAGUAGCCGGCCUGAGAGGAUGAACGGCCACAUUGGAACUGAGACACGGUCCAGACUCCUACGGGAGGCAGCAGUGGGGAAUCUUCCGCAAUGGGCGAAAGCCUGACGGAGCAACGCCGCGUGAGUGAAGACGGCCUUCGGGUUGUAAAGCUCUGUUAUACGGGACGAAUAAUCUUGUGGUUAAUACCCAUGAGAAGUGACGGUACCGUAAGAGAAAGCCACGGCUAACUACGUG